ensembl:antisense Gm32569 predicted gene, 32569
AGAGGAAACUGUAUUACCAGAGGUCAAAGUCACAUACCUUGCCAAGUGUGGCUGUUUUUUUUUUUUUUUUUUUUUUUUUUUUUUUGUUUUGUUUUUGUUGUUGUUGUUGUUUUUGUUUUAAAAGAAGAAGAGUUCGCUGUCCAUGGUGAGAUGUUUUCUGUCCUAUCUGGGGGCAUUUCCCGGCUCCGGUUUCGCCACUAAGGAUGAAGAUGUAGAACACUCAGCUUCUCCUGAACCGUGCCUGCCUGGAUGCUGCCGUGCUCCUGCCUUGAUGAAAAUGGACUGGACCUCUGAACCUCUUCAAACACAAGAGCGAUAUCAGUUCCACGCUGCCGAAGGCUGGGAGUUUUCUGGAAGGGAAGGCUUGAGGCUAUUACUCUUCCCGUGACAACAACAUUUGCUCCCGUGUUCUGAGGAAAAUGGCCUUUCUGAAAACGAUUUAUCUCAAGGUCACCACCUUAGAAGCAGAGACAGAAAAUGGACCCCUCUGUCUGCAAUGGUAAAAUGGAAAUAAUAGGUCAUGGGAGGACCUCAUUCUGAGGAAUCCGCAGGCAGGGAGUCUCCUUUCCACCUUGACAUGAAUGUGCUCCGUGGGUCCUCAUAGACCUGGUGAG